GACGGGGGAUGCAAGCGUUAUCCGGAAUGAUUGGGCGUAAAGCGUCCGCAGGUGGCAAUGUAGGUCUGCUGUCAAAGCGUCUGGCUCAACCAGAUAAAGGCAGUGGAAACUACAUAGCUAGAGUAAGGUAGGGGUAGAGGGAAUUCCUGGUGUAGCGGUGAAAUGCGUAGAGAUCAGGAAGAACACCGGUGGCGAAAGCGCUCUGCUGGACCUUAACUGACACUGAGGGACGAAAGCUAGGGGAGCGAAUGGG
rnacentral:rRNA from 1 species